UUGUGUUUAAAUUGUGAAGCCUGCAAGGAAAUUGGAUUCGACCACCGACAAAGUAAAGAAGCCACGUCGCUACCGCCGGGAACGGUUGCUUUUAGGUUCCACAAAUGUUACCACAAAUUGAAAUUACUCCUAAGAAGAAAUGGGAACAAAGAUGCAUUACAAAAGCUACUUCCCAGGGGUUAAGAUGGUGAGACCUUAGUGAUGAUUCUAGCAGUAGUAGUUGGACCUUAUCUUACAGGACCAAUAUGGUGGCAAAGAAUGCUUGUAGUAUUUAAGAAUCUGCAGGAAAGAGUGAUGGAUUUUUUGGAGGGUAUACAACUCUAUUAAAUAAAGAUUUAUAGGUUGCGUCGCAGAGAACAUUUGCUCAUUUGACAGCAAUAAGAGACUCACGUAUCUAAAGAAGCAAGCAUGUCUCGUGCAAAUAUGUUAUGCACUUUUGGAUAGAUAGGACUUUACAGUUUUUACUACAUGG